ACAUAGCUCCCUGCCAAAGCCAAGUGUUGGCGUAUAGGGGGUGAAGCCUGCCCCCUGAUUGUAUCUGAAAGGAUUGGCGAAAGGCAAUUUAUAAGGGCAAUUUAAUGGCCGCGGUAACUUUGACCGUGAUAAUGUAGCACAAUCAAUUGUUAAUUAAUUGUUGACGGGUAUGAAUGGCAUCACGAAAGCCAAACUGUCUCAAGAAGAUUUCCCCUGAAAUUGAAUUCGUAGUGAAGAUGCUACGUACAUAUUGUUAGACGAAAAGUCCCCAUUGAGCUUUACUUUAGACUUUUAUGGCUCAACAAAUUAAAUGAGAAGAUAAUGUGGUUCGUUUUGACAAUGAAACACCACUCUUUAUUUUUAAAGGAGCUAACUUUAAGGAAAAUGAAAGUUUGUAAGUUUGGUUGGGGCGACCCCCUUUUGAAAAGUAACAAAGGGGAGCGAUUGUUUGUGAUUAGACCGACUGCAAGGGACACUUCCUGAGCAGACACAUUCCUAGAAUGUGGGUUAAAGUGACCCGUCAUCUUUAUGUGAAUAGGUGACGAUUACGAAUAAAAGCUACCAUGGGGAUAACAGCGUAAUAUUGUUUGAGGGUUAAUUGAUGACAAUGUUUGCGACCUCGAUGUUGAAUUGCGGGAACCUGGGGUGCAGCCGCUCCCAAGGGCUGGCCUGUUCGUCCAUU
rnacentral:rRNA from 2 species